rnacentral:rRNA from 1 species
AUGGUAGAGCCGGCCGACGUGCUGGGCCUCACGCGGGGCUACAAGCUGCAGCCUCUCGACGACGAGGCGGUGGAAUACUACCUGCUCCGUCGACUCCUUGGCGAGGAGCUCCCGCUGGAGGGCAUCAUCCUCGAGGACGAUCCUCUGAGCGCGCCGCCAUGGGAGCUCUUGAACAGACACGGGCGGGAGGACGAUGCUUUCUUCUUUGCCCACGGGCAAACCAUCGACACCAAGGGGAGUCGGAACAAGCGGACCUGCGCGGGCGGCGGGUGCUGGGAAGGGCAGAAGGUCGUCGUGGAUGACAAGCAGCUCAUCGUCCCCGACAGCGGCAUGGAGAUCACCUGGAAGAAGUACCACCUCAACUUCCACAAGGACGGCGAGAGAGGCAGCACGGGGUGGGUCAUGCACGAGUACUCGGUCACAUCCCCGCCCUAUCUGGCCUCGUCGUCGGUCAGGCUGUAUCGCAUUCUGUUCAGUGGCCAUGGCAAGAAGCGCAAGAGGGUGCCCGAUGAUCACGGCCGCGACGACGAUGGUGGAGCGCGCGCGGCCACCUGGCAAGCCAUAGCAGAUCUUGAUCUUCUCGAGAAGCAGGUUUCAGCGUCGUACUCUGUUUUCCCUCAAGAUGAGGAUGGCUACUGUUAUGCGGCGAACGCCACAGAGGAUCAUCACCUGCUGGGUUCUUCCCAAGACAACGGCCGCUCGUGGUUCUUGCCCGGCGGAGACCGCGGAGUAGGGCCGGUCAGGGCGACAUCAGAUUCAGAUCAAGACGCCCCAGCGGGCGUGAUGCAUGAGUUCGCCGGUGGAGAUGGUGGUGUUGCGUUGCGCCGGUGGCAGCAACGCUACCAUCCUCCGGCGCGAUGGACGAGUCCUUAG